CCUACGGGUGGCAGCAGUGAGGAAUAUUGGUCAAUGGACGAGAGUCUGAACCAGCCAAGUAGCGUGAAGGAUGACUGCCCUAUGGGUUGUAAACUUCUUUUAUAUGGGAAUAAAACGUUCCACGUGUGGGAUUUUGUAUGUACCAUAUGAAUAAGGAUCGGCUAACUCCGUGCCAGCAGCCGCGGUAAUACGGAGGAUCCGAGCGUUAUCCGGAUUUAUUGGGUUUAAAGGGAGCGUAGGUGGAUUGUUAAGUCAGUUGUGAAAGUUUGCGGCUCAACCGUAAAAUUGCAGUUGAAACUGGCAGUCUUGAGGACAGUAGAGGUGGGCGGAAUUCGUGGUGUAGCGGUGAAAUGCUGAGAUAUCACGAAGAACUCCGAUUGCGAAGGCAGUUCACUGGACUGCAACUGACACUGAGGCUCGAAAGUGUGGGUAUCAAACAGGAUUAGAUACCCCUGUAGUC
rnacentral:rRNA from 1 species